ensembl:lncRNA
ACGUAUGUUUUUUAGUUGACAUGGCUAAGGAGCCUGAUGCUGGGAAAGACUAAAGGUAGGAGGUGAAGGGGAAGACAGAGGAUGAGAUGGUUGGAUGGCAUCACUGACUCAAUGGUUCAAAUGAGUUUGAGCAAACUCCAGGAGUUGGUGAAGGACAGGGAAGCCUGGUGUGCUGCAGUCCAUCAGGUUGCAAAGAGUCAGACACGACUGAGUGACUAACAACAUCAACAGGCCAAGGAGCAAGGAAGGGAUCCGUGUAUGGAAAAUUACUAAGUAGAAACAUCAGGGGAUAAGGGAGGAUUCUGACUAAACUGACUCGACAGGAUUCUUGCGGAAGACAGGCCAGGGUGAGCAGAUAUCACCUGUAGAUUGUUGCCUUAUGUAGAAUCUAAUAUCCUGACCAGGGAUCAAACCUGGGUCUCUUGAAUUGGAAGCAUGGAGUCUGAGCCACUGGACCACCAGGGAAGUCUCUCAGAAGACUCUUGAGAGCCCCUUGCACUGCAAGGAGAUCAAACCAGUCAAUCCUAAAGGAAAUCAACCCUGAAUAUUCACUGGAAGGAAUGAAGCUGAAUGCUGCUGAAGCUGAAGCGCCAAUACACUGGCCACCUGAUGCGAAGAGCUGACUAAUUGGGAAAGAUUGAGGGCAGGAGAAGAAGAGGAUGACAGAGGAUGAGAUGGUUGGAUGGUAUCACCGACUCAAUGGACAUGAGUUUGGGUGGACUCUGGAAGAUGGUGAAGGACAGGGAAGCCUGGUGUUCUGCAAUUCAUGGAGUUGCAAAGAGUCAGACACAACUUAGAGACUGAACAGCAACAACAGGAAUUGGCCAUUUCUAUACUUUCUCCAGAGAAAUGUGCAUCGAAAUCCUUUAUUUUUAAAAUAUUUAUUUAUUUAGCUAUGUGAGAUCUAAGUUGCCGUAUGUGGGGUCUUUUUUUUAAAUUGUUGUUGUGGCACACAGAAUCUUUUUAGUUGUGACAUUUGGAAUCUUCAAUUGCAGCAUGUGAACUCAUAGUUGCAGUAUGUGGGAUCUAGUUCUCUGGUCAGGGAUUGAACCCAGGCCCCCAACAUUGGGAGUGUGGAGUCUUAGCCACUGGGCCAUUUGGGAAGUCCCCCUUAUGCAUUAAAACAUUUUUUUAUUGUUGAGUUGUACAAAUUCUUCACAUAUUCUGGAUACAAGCCCUGAGUCAGACAUAUUAUUUGCAAAUAUUUUCCCCCAUUCUUUGGGUUGUCUUUUCACUUUUAUGAUCGUAUUGUUGGUAAUACAAAAGUUUUAAAUUUGAAUGUAACCCAGUUUAUCUAUUUUUUUCUAUAACAAUAAUAAAAUUUAUUAUUUUA